ACUGGAGAGGCAGAGCGCGAGUCAGCCGAGGCUCCCGCCCGCAGGGGGCGCGGCCCUGGGGCAGGAACGGGGAGGGGCGGGCACGCCCUCUGCCGGCCCGGGGCGGAGUUGCCCACCGUGGCCACUCGGCCACUUGCCGGGCUCAACGGCCCGGCCCGGGAUGGUGCAACUCGCUAGUUGGGAAACGGAUCUGCCAAGAAGCUUCCGGCCCACCCUCCGAGAGAGCAAAGGAGAGGUAAGAAGCUCCACAAAGUCAACAGCCAAGCCCAUUCUGUCCAGUGGACAUCUGGAGACCUGGAGAACCAUGCUGCUUCCCAGGGAGGUUGGUAAGCAGAGUGUGGUGGCGCACACCUAUAAUCCCAGCAUUUGGGAGACUGAGGCAGGAGGAUCGCCAUGAGCUUGAGGCUAGCCUGGACUACAGAACAACAUCCUGUCUCAAGGGGCUGGGGUUUUAGCUCAGUGGCAUAAGCAUCUGCCUUGCAAGCAGGCAGUUGUGAAUUUGAUCCCCAGUACCAAUAAAAAGGAAAAAGACAAAAAAAAAAAAAAAGUGAAAGAUCCUGUCUCAAAAAAACAAAGCUGGGCAUGGUGGCACUUAGUAGGAUUGCUGAGUUCAAGGGCAGCCUAGGUUUCACAGUAAACUCAAGGCCAGCCUGAACUACAUAGCAAGAUCCUGUCUCAGAAAACAAACAACAACAACAAAAAUAAAGUAAAAUUUAAAAAAAACUCCAAAGGAGCCUGGUGGCAACUGCAGGGACCCAAUCCUACCUCCCCACCCCCACCACAUGCCUGCCCAGCCCAGCAGCCCCAGCUGCGUGGUAGCCUCCCCCCACUAUGUCCCCCCUCACCGAUCAUGGUGCAUGAGCAUGUUGACAAUGUCCUUGAACAAGUCAGGCUGUUUAGGGGAGAAGAAGCCACUGCUUAGCUGCUCGAUGAUCUGUCGGAGCUCAGGAAUGCGGUCAUAGUACUCCUGGGCAUUGUACCUGCAGGGCAGAGCUCCAUCAGCUGGUGCUUGCUCCAGGGAUCCAGAAAGUCCCAAGCCUCGGCCUGCCGCUGCCCUCCCUGGAGCUGCCACCCAAGCCCGCUCUGGAGGUCCUUCCUCACCACUCCUCUCCCUUCCCGGCUCAUUUUUCCUUCCCUACUUUGAUGAUGAAGAAACUCAGGCCUGGAGGAAACAAAAAGGUAAUGCUUAAAAAGCCACAGGCCCUACAAAAGAGGGCUCUUACAGGCGUGCACGCAUGCACCACCAUUGUGUCCCCUCCAUGACGGACUGGGGCUGAGGUGUGGCUCAAGCAUAGGACGCUUGCCUAGCAAGCACAAGGCCCUUGGUUCCAUUCCCAACACCACCAAAAAACCACCAUGACUAUCUUUUCUCCGCCAGUGUCCUAACCCCAUCCCUGGCCUAGCCGUUGGCUAUAGGAGGCACCAGCAGACACAUUCUCGGAAGGGCCUGCUCAGCUCAGCCAGUCCCGCCGAGCUCAUCACAGGCCUUGUGCCAACUUUCUUCCUCUUGUUGGUUUGUUCUUUGAGACAGAAUCUCACUAUGUAGUCCAGGCAGGCCAGCAGGCCUCAAAUUCACUACAUGGCUCAGGCGAGCCUCAGGCUUAUGAUCCUCCUGCCUCAGCCUCUGGAAUUACAAGCAGGUGUCAUCAUACCCAACUUGCCUCCACUUUCUAAGGCAGCACAACCCCUCCCUCAGGAUCAAAAUCCCUCCCCAUGCCAGCCUGGUCCCCUUCACCGCAAGUGCUCUUCCAGUGAGAUACCAAGACCUCUUCCAUGUCUCUGACCCCAGUCCUCUGAGCUAUUCAGCUACAGGUGACUCCUCUGCCUACAGUGUCAGCUCCCACUCUGGUCCCCACCUGCGCCCUGAAACCCAGCCUUCAUCCUGCAGUCAGAAUUAUUCUAAAGCCUCAGCCAAAACACUGGAGAGUAUGCUCAAAACAUCUCACAGCCACCUGUUCCCCAAGGACAGUCUGCGCUUUCUAGUCAAGCCCCACAGAAAUUCCUUGCAGCAUUGAAUACCAGCUCUCCUAAGUCAUGAUGGGGGCAUAAUGGCACCAACUUUCUGGGAAGCAAUUUGGAUCUCCGUGUUAGAGCCUCAAGAACUUGUGCUUAAAGCUGGAUGUGGUGGCACACACCUGUAAUCCCAGCACUCAGGAGGUUGAGGCAGGAGGAUCAUGAGUUCGAGACCAGCCUGGGCUACAGAGUGCUCAAGGCCAACCCAAACUGCAUAGAGAGACCCUGUCUCAAAAGGACCAGAAAGCAAGCAAGCAAGCAAGCAAGUGAAAGAAAGAAAGAAACAAACAAACAAAGAAAAAAAAAAAGAAAGAAAGAAAGGGAGGAAGAGAAAAAAACAACUGGGAUGGUGGAAAGGAGAAAAGAAAGAAGGGAAAACAUAACUAUACUACUAAUCUCUGUUAGUCCGUCAAAAAGAACAAUUUGUGAUUUCAUUAAUUGAUGAUUGUUUUCAGCUAUUUUAUAAUCUGAGCAACUACUUUGAAGAUAAUGCAAAAUAUAUUAACCAUUGUUAAUCUCCUAUAUUGUUUUGAAAUUCUGUAUCAUUUUUAUUCUUUAUUCAGUUUUUUAAAAAUACAAAGGAUUAGGGAUGUAGGUCAGUGAUAGAGCAUCCCUUCUGUCUAAUUACCAGUGCCACAAAAAAAAAAAAAAAUAAAGAAAAUUGGAGUUGGGGAUUUAGUUCAGUGGCAUAAGCACCUGCCUUGCAAGCAGGUGGUUGUGAGUUCAAUCCCCGGUACCGAUAAAAACAUAAAAAAUUAAAAUAAAUUGAAAUAAAUUCAUUCUUAACCACCCACCUACAUACAAUAUCCUAUUCUAAUUCUUUUAAGGAAGUAAUCAUGGCUGUAAACAUAGAUGCAAAAAGUUGUUCACUGAAGUACUAUUUAGACUAACAGGCUUAAUCAACCUGAAUACCCAGCCAUAUGAUAUUGGUUAAACAGUAUGUCAUGGUUAGCCAAGCAUGGUGCUGCACUCUGUAAUCCCAGCACUGGGCGAGCUGAGGCAGGAGGAUUGCUGCGAGUUCAAGGGCAGCCCAGGCUACAUAGUGAGUUCAGGAUCAGCCUGAACUGCAUAGGGAGACCCUGUCUCAAAAAAGGAAAGAGAAAGGUGGGAGAGAGACAGAGAUAAAGACAGAGACAAAAACAGAAACAGAGACAGAGACAGAAUGAGAAGGAAAGGAAAGGAAAGGAGAGGAGAGGAAAGACUAGAAAAGGAAAGAGAAAAAAAGAAAAAGAAACGAAAAGGCUGAGGAUGUAGCUAAGUGUAGGGACCUGGAUUCAGUCCUCAGUACUGCAAAUACCAAUACUACUGCUACUACUAAUAAUGUGCCAUACCCAUAGGGUGCAAUCCUAUAUGAUUUUUUGAGAUGGUCUCACUAUGCAGCCUAGGCUGGCCUUAAAGUCUGCCUCACAAAUGCAGAAAUUACAGGCAUGCACCACCACUCCCAGCAUAUAUGACUUGUUUUGUUUGUUUGUUUGAGACAGGGUCUGGCUGUGUGGUUCAGGCUGGCCUUGAACUCACUAUGGAGCCCAGGUUGGCCUGAAACUUGGGGGACUCCCCACCUCAGCCUCCUGAGUGCUGGGGUCACAGACAUGCAGCACCACACCUGGCUCUAUAUACAUAUUUACAAUAUUUUUGAAGACUAAUGACAUGAGAGGUGGGUAUGGAGGCUCGGGAGGCUGAGGCAGGAGGAACACAAAGGAGGACAAGUUUGCACUCAGACUGGGCAACUUGGUGAUUUAGCAAGGCCCUGUCUCAAAGAACAAAAUAGCUUUAAACCCACUCUGAGAGUAUGAAAAGCAGUUAUUUCUCUUUUGUUUUUUAUUUUUCUAAGUAAUGAGCAGAUGUUACUUUUUUGAUAAUCACAUUUAAAAAUAAAUUUUGGGGGGAUUUAGCUCAGUGGUAUAAGAGCCUGCCCUUGCAAGUGUGAGGUCAUGAGUUCAAUCCCCGGUACCAAAAAAAGAGAGAGAAAAAAGAAAGAAAACAAAAGAAAAUCUAAAGACAGUGACUAAUAGAAAAAUAAAUUUUGGGAGCCGGGGAUUUAGCUCAGCAGCAUAAGUGCCUGCCCUGCAAGCGCACAGUCAUGAGUUCGAUUCUCAGUGCCAAAAAAUAUAAAAAUAAAUUUUGGGGCCAGGGGUUUAGCUCAGUGGAACAAGCGCUUGCCUGGCAAGUGUGAGGUCAUGAGCUCGAUUCCUGGUACCAUCCAUAUAAAUAGGUAAAUAAAUAAAUUUUGCUGGAAACUGGUAGUACAUGGCUGUAAUCUUAGCACUCAGGAGACUGAGGCAAGAUAAUCACAAGUUUGAGCCAGCCUGGACUAUGCAACAAGCUCUAGGCUGACCUGAGCAAGCUAUAUAGCCAGGAUCAAAAACAAUUAAUGUCAGGAAAUUUGUCUCCUCUUAUGGCUUUCCAGGAACUAAUGAUUUAAUUUCACCUCCAUUUCUGAAUAGUAUCUCUUGAGACUGGUAUAAUUUUCUUUCUUUUCCUUCAGUUCUAAUUUUGGUUAAUUGUGACAGCCUCUCACUUGGUAGUGCAGGCUGACCAGACUCUCUGUGUAUCUCAGACUGGCCUCAAGCUUGCAACCCUCCCGCCUCAGCCUCCCCAGUGCUAGGAUGACAGGUGUGUACCAGUGGGCUCAGUUCUUUCCUUCCAUUCUGUGUUACUUCUUUUAUCCCAUUAAGUGUAUGUGCUGUAAGCUCCCCCAGAAGUUUUUUGGAGGAUGUGGGCUUAGUGGUAGAGCACGUUCCCAGCAGACAUGGAACUCAGUUCAAGCCCCAGCACUGCCCAAAUUUCCAUCCCAUCCCUGGCAGCCACGCCUCAGCCCUCCUGCCCUGACCCAUGCACGGCAUACCCCCUCUGGUCAAGCCUGUCCACGUCCUCCACCCGCAUGCCGAAGAUGAAGAAGUUCUCCUCCCCUGCCUCCUCUGCCAUCUCUACGUUGGCCCCAUCCAUGGUGCCGAUGGUCAGAGCCCCGUUGAGCAUGAACUUCAUGUUGCCCGUGCCUGAGGCCUCCGUGCCCGCUGUGGAGAUCUGCUCAGAGAGGUCAGCAGCCGGGAUCACUGGAGGACAGCAGUAAGGGGCAGGGUCAGCUCAGGGAACUGUCCUGCCCAAGGUGGGCAUAGCCAGAUGCAAAGUCCCCUGUGCCCCAACCCUCUGAUCCUCACCAACUAAUUUCCUAUUGCCAGCUUCACCCUUUUGCAAUUUAUUUUCUUUAACUAGGAAUUGAACUCAGGGCCUGGAGCUUGCAGGGCAGUUACUGCCCAAUGGAGCUACAUCUCUGAUUCGUGGUGAUUCUUUAAUACCUGGAAUCCAGCCUGGACCCUGUGUCUACUUCCCCCGGAUUCCACGCUGUGCUGCCUGUAAUCCCACAGAGGGACACCCUUGCCCAGGAAAGCUUGCUAAUGUCUCUCCUGGGGCCCAGUCCAUUCGAGCCUCCAGGGUCCCCGCAGCAGCACCCACCUUUUUCAGCCAGUGAGACCCGGUAGUUCUCCAGGAAAAUGACUCGAAGGCGGUCGCCCACCACUGGGUCGUGGUUUACCACGUCCCCGAUGGCAGUGAUGAGUCUGAUGAUCAUCUUGGCCAUGUGGUAGCCGGGAGCAGCCUGCGGGGCACAGUGUAGGCUCGGCGCUGAGGCCUUAGCCUCACGCACAACCUGUCCUACUGCUUGGCCAGGCUCAUUCCACCAGACGGAGGGCAGCAGUGCAGAGCCCUGGGCCAGGCCUAGCUUCUUACCUUGCCCCCGAUCAUCACAGUCCGUGGCACAACGAACUUGUUAGGCUCCUUCUUGAUGCCUGUGGAGAAGAGAGGGACAGAGGUGGCCGACCACCAUCCCACCCCGGCUAGGCGCUCCCAAUGGUACCCUGGCAGCCAGCGCCCAUGCUAGGAGGCAGCAGCCUGAAUUUCCCCAGUCCCUGGCUCUGUGGCUGUCAAGGCCCCAUGCUGAGCUUUGGUUUGGCUAUCUAUGGAAUAGGUAUCGUUCCCUAUCCUAGGAGCUGUCACCAGCCAAGGAGCUACUGAUCAGGUAGUGUGUGACCUCCUGGAGGGAUACAGAGGGGAGGACUGGGCUGCGUGGUGGUCCCGCCACUCACGGUUGUACAGGGUGAUGACAUGGAGGCAGUUGAGGAGCUGGCGCUUGUAUUCAUGAAUCCGUUUCACCUGGACAUCGAAGAGUGAAUUGGGGUUGAUGUGGACUUUGUACUCUCUCUCCAGGUACGCAGAGAACUUCAGUUUGUUUUCCUGCAGGGAGGGGAAGGAGAAGGCUCACCAAGAUGCUGAUGGAUGGAAGGUCCUCACUGCCUCCUUCCCGCCAGCCCCAGGAAGGUGGACGGCAGGAGGCUCACUGCUGCCCUCGCCAGGCAGACAGGGCCAGGGCAGAUCGGUGGUUACUCUGGUUACUCCUGGCAGGACCUGGGCAGGACAGGCGGGGCAGCUCUAUCUGCCCCUCCCCCACUUCCCAAGGGCCACCCCUGGCCCUCGUGGUGUCCCAGGCUGUGGCGCUGCCCACCUGCUUCACUUUGGCCACAUCCCUGAUAAAGGCUUCAUCAUCCACAUAGGAGAGCAGUUUGCGCAGCUGGUCCAGGUCCGAGAUGUACUCCUCCCCGAUGCGCUGUGGGCAGGCGGCUCUCAGGAAAACCACACCCUCUGUCACCCUUCUCCCAGACACAGAGGGGUCCCUCUUUUCCAGCUCAGCUGGGCCUGCCACCUGGCUCUGGGAUCCUCCCAGCCACUUUCCUGCCAUCCCAUCUGAGCUCUGGUGGCUGGCCUAACCGGCCCCAGCCACCCCAGCAGGCUUCCCUGGACUCCUGGACUUCUCUCAAGUCCCUUCUACCAGACACUGGCUCCUGCAGUCUCAUUUCAGAUGGGUCCCACUGAAGUUCCCUCCCUCCUUAGACCAGCACCCCCAGCAGGCUGGCUUUCCUAGCCAGGGCCCCAUGAGCCCAGAGGCCGCAUGCAUGCACUUAAGAAAAGGCACCACCUAGGUACUCGGGAUUUAGCUCAGCGGCAUAAGCGCCUGCCUUGCAAGCAGGCAGUCGUGAGUUUGAUCCCCAGUACCGAUAAAAAUGAAAAAGACAAAAAAAAAAAAAGAAAGAAAGAAAGAAAAGGCACCACCUAUCUUGGGGACACAGUGCAGGAUGAAUUUCAGCCCUCAACGUUGAGUCCCUGUGCUGUGAGCACAAUACCCAAGUGACCCCUGCAGUGCCCUGCAGUGGCUUUACCGCCCCUCACCUCAGCAAUGACCUCUGCCAGCCCAGGGUUACACAGAACCAGCCAGCGCCGAGGGGUGAUGCCAUUGGUCUUAUUCUGGAAUUUAUGAGGCUCCAGCUCAUAGAAGUCCUUGAAACUGCAAGGUGGAGGGGGAUGCGCAUCACCACUCACCCCUACAAGGGCCCUUCUCCCAGAAGCCCCUAGCUCUUCCCGAAAGGGGCUUCUCCUGGGAUCCUGUGAGAGGAGGUCACCGGGGACAGGACUGUACUAGAAGGGGCUGUGAGAGUGUGCACUGUCUGUGGGUAGGACCCACUACGGGAGGCUGGGGCUGGAGAAUAGGCUCACAUGGUCUUCUUGAGGAUCUCAGAGUGGAUGCGGGCCACACCAUUGACUGCAUGCGAGCCAGCAAUGCACAGGUGCGCCAUGUUGAUUCGCUUCACCGCACCCUCCUCCACCAGUGACAUGCGCCGCAGCCGGUCUACGUCCCCAGGGAAGGAAGCCGCCACUCGCUGUGCCCAAAAGAGCCCAGAACUGGCACCAGAGCCCAAAAACCUUGGUCCCUAGACCCAAUCUCCAAGGCUCUGCUCAGAGCUGUGCUCACACCCGAGGCCCCAGAUCCUGGCCAGCCACCCUUCCAGCUGCCUACUGGUCAUGCCCCCUUCCCGGCUCACAUUCAGGAAGCGCUGGUUGAUCUCGUAGAUGAUCUGCAGGUGCCGGGGCAGCAGCGUCUCCAGGAGGUGCACGGGCCAGCGCUCCAGUGCCUCGGGCAGCACCGUGUGGUUGGUGUAGGCACACGUCUUGACAGUUAUGUCCCAGGCCUGGCACAUGGGGCGGGGCGUAGGAUGCUAGGACUGAGCCCUGGGCCGUCUGUACAGCAGCACGGAAGCCACUGCAGAGCCAGGUUCCAGGACCCCUGCCGGGGCCUCCCACUCUCCAACCUGGGAAGGAUCCUGAGGCAGAGAACAUGAGGCCCUGAAAUUCACCUUAUCCCACUCCAGCCGCUCCAGAUCCACAAGAAUCCUCAUCAGCUCAGGGAUGGCCAAGGACGGGUGGGUGUCGUUGAGCUGGAUGGCCACCUGUGUGGGAGGGGCUGUGAGUCAGACGAGGCCCAGACCAAGAGCAAAGGUGACUGUCGUUUGCUUGCUCCUUUGGAGGCUCCCAGAAGGCUGGGGCUGCUCUGGGGCUGAGGAGCUCCUGGGGACAGCUGGGGAGCAGCAGACAAAAGAGGAAGGCUCAGGUCGAUUGAAAAUCCCAGGCUGGGUACCUUAUCAGGGAAGGCGUCGAAGUUUGUGCGCACAGGAUCACGGCUGCCGAACUUGGAGGAUUUGAAGCGCCGGAUGAUGUCCUGGAGGGUGGCGGCCACUACGAAGUACUCCUGCUUCAACCGCAGCUCCUUCCCCUCGAAGAACUAUGGACAGUACAUGUGCCAGGGGUGUGGCCUAAGACUGAUGCAGGUGUGGCUAGGAGAGAGCCCACCCACACUAAGACACAGUACCCCACUAAGACCUGGGGGUCUUUGCUCCACUAAGUAACAGUAGGGUUGGGGGGAUGGUGUCACAAAUGGGGGUACAAAAGGACCGAGAGGAUUAUGGGUGUCACCUGCCUCUCUAGGAGCCAAGCAUCCUCCCACUCUAAGGACUAGGACUAGGGGAACGGGACACACAGUCUAUUCCAGUGCAAGGAGGACAGCCACAGCUCCCCUGACCCCUCUCCCUGGGACUCAGGCCUCCAGCCCCCAUCCCAAAGGCUGACGCACGUUAUCGUUGGGGUACAGCACACGAGAAAUGUUCUCAGCCAGGUUUCGAUCCAGCACAGCCUGGAUAUAGCCACCAACAUUGACUGAAGGACAAAGAGGAACAGGUUAAGCUGGGGCUGAGCGCAGGCCCGGCCAGGAUGGGGCAGGCUUCUGGCUCACAGUGGAUGAACUCACAGUCCUUGAGGUUGAAGUCAUUGGGAGCUUUGGCAGACCAGAGGCGCAUUGUGUUGACAACAUUGUUUCGGUAGCCAGGCACGGGUGUGUCAUAAGGCAUGGCCAGUACCACCUGUGAGGGGCACCUGAGUCAGGAGCUGGCUGGCUGCUGCGUUUGGGAAGCCGGCCCUAGGCACCUGCUUUGUCUGCCACAUGGGGCCUCCCUCAUCUGCAGGACUGGAACUCAAGAGAUAGUUCCUGAAUGCUACCAGCUCCUGACCUUGAGGUCUCAUCCCAGCCCUGUAAGCAAACUGUCAUCUCUCUGAAACUCACCUAUAAAGAGGAUAUGGCCCAACAUGGCUCUAGACACCCCCACCUCCUGCCUUGUUCAUUUAGUCUGUCAUGAGGAUUACGGGGAGAAGUAGAGCUACAGAGCUACAACAAGUUCAGAACCUCAGACGGAGCUCACUCUGCAGGGCCAGGCUAAGCCUCCAGCCUGGCUGGGGCAAAAGCAAGGGAAUACAUUAUCCUCAGCCUCAGCCUCAUCCUCACGUUUGUUUUUGGUUUUUCUUUUUUUGAGACAGGUCUCACUAUGUAACCCAGGCUGGCCUCAAAUUCACAUCGAUCUUCUGGCCUCAGCCUCCUGAGUACAGGAAUUGCAGGUGUGUUACCACCUGUAGGUGGAGACACUGGAUUCCUGAGAGACUGGAAGAGGGAGGCCAGGUCAGGCUGAAGAGGUUACAGAGGUCCAGUCUCUCCAGAGUCCUUGUCUGGUUGAUCACUUAGCUUAUUAGCAGUGACUAAUGCUGGCCGCACCUCCCAUGGCCAGCAAGCAUCGGCCUCCCCUCCCUACACGAGAACAGAGCAGAAUGGAAGCUGCAGCCCGAAAGAGCCCAGGCUCUGGGGCCAGAGCAGCACUGCAGGCUGCUGCAGCCUCUGCCUGGUGCCAUCGGAUGAACACCCCAUUCUGAAAGCCUAGAGGUUCUGUGCAGCCCACUGGGAAGCUGAGGGCCUGCAGCCCUGGAAAGAGGAUUGCCUGGACAGGGUCUUGGAUGCCUACUUUGGCUUUAUGCCCCCUAUAACUUGCUGUGUAAUUUUGAACAAGUCAAUUUCAAGUCUGGAA